GAUGAAGAACGCAGCGAAAUGCGAUAAGUAAUGUGAAUUGCAGAAUUCAGUGAAUCAUCGAAUCUUUGAACGCACAUUGCGCCCCUUGGUAUUCCGGGGGGCAUGCCUGUUCGAGCGUCAUUAUAACCCCUCAAGCUCAGCUUGGUGUUGGGGCCUGCCAACUGGCAGCCCUUAAAAUCAGUGGCGGCGCCAUCUGGCUCUAAGCGUAGUAAUUUCUCUCGCUAUAGGGUCCCGGUGGAUGCUGGCCAACAACCCCCAAUUUUCUAUGGUUGACCUCGGAUCAGGUAGGGAUACCCGCUGAGCUUAAGCAUAUCAAUAAGCGGAGGA
rnacentral:misc_RNA from 1 species